AAUGAUAUGCCUGAUUAAAGGAUUAUUAUGAUAUAAUAAAUAAAGUAAUUUUAAUACUAUCAUUA
rnacentral:tRNA from 1 species